rnacentral:lncRNA from 1 species
AUUCAUAUCAGUUUGCUACUUAAGCAAGUACAGAAAACAUAAUAGAAACUGAUAACUACCCACUAAGUGAACUCAAUAGAUAACUGAUCCAUAAUUCUAAAUAGUAGACUAACAAGUGUCAAGUAGGAUAACCAACAAUAACUGACUGCAACAUAAGAAAAUAAGACUAAACUUAACUGAGUCUUAUGCCUCAGCAUGUAGUGUUUGCUGGCUGCUCAGAUAAACACUGUUAACAACUAAAA